rnacentral:rRNA from 1 species
UACGUAGGGUGCGAGCGUUGUCCGGAAUUAUUGGGCGUAAAGAGCCCGUAGGCGGUGUGUCACGUCGUUCGUGAAAACCUGCAGCUUAACUGUGGGCGUGCGGUCGAUACGGGCAUCACUGGAGUUCGGCAGGGGAGACUGGAAUUCCCGGUGUAGUGGUGAAAUGCGUAGAUAUCGGGAGGAACACCAGUGGCGAAGGCGACUACCUGGCCUGUUCUUGACGCUGAGGCGCGAAAGCUAGGGGAGCAAACGGG